AGUCCCUCUGAACUAAGCCUCCUUAGCAAGCUGAAUCCAUGAAGAGAGGCCAUUCUAGUCUUCAUGGUGGAAUAAUUUCCACGAAAUGCUUUGGACAUGUUGAGGACUCUGACUCUGUAAUUCUGAGACAUUGGGGUCCAUUAUUUCUGAAGAUGGGUACACCUGGAUUGAUUUAAAAUGUUAUGGAAGAAUUCAGAUCCAGGUAAGCAAGUUGAAGAAUCAUAGGCAAUUUCUUCAAGCUAUUGAAUUCUAUGUCAUGUGUACCUAUGUAUGUGUGUGGAUGUCUGCGGCACAGAGCAGAGCCCUUGGUCUAUAGACCUACCAUAGAUAUUGUUCCAAGGGG
rnacentral:lncRNA from 1 species